GGGAGUAGUAAAGGCGAAGCACCCCGGCCGUGCGGGGAGCGGUGGGACCCCUUAGGGGUGACGGGCCGUCAGCGACGGGCAAGGAGCGGGAAAGGAGAGAGGAGCAGCUGAGAGGGGUAUUCUCACACGGCAGAGUGGUGGCACCUGCCUCUCAAAAUCAAAGACCGCGACCAGCAGAACACGAUCAGGAGUUUCUUGUGAGGAAAGCUUAGGAUACCAAGAGCUCGUCCGAGCGCUCAGUCUGCUUAGGUCUGCUGUUAUUGCGCCAGCCGCCCAGCAGCUGUCGGGAAUCCCGAUUCCAGGGGCCUUUCCCUCCUGAAACAUCAGGUGCCUUCCCCCGAGAAACUGCCCGAGAAAUUGCAUACAUAGGUUUGAGGAAAUUUGAAACGCCUAAAUCUGAAAAUCUUCUCUUUUAUAAAUGACACAUGAACUACCCGUAAACAAGAAAAUACACCCAGGUGAUCCUUUAGACAUCCCCCAAGGCAAACUGAACACUAGUUGUGAUGUGAACAAGUUCACAAGUUAAUACUGUUAGAGUUGUUGGGUCGAUCUGAAACUGUAACGAGUUGAAUUAUUGAACUUGUUGUUAGAUGUUAUAUCUUUAAGUUACCCCUUUCUCCCUUACCCUGUAUUUGUAUCACAUUCCAUUGAGAACAAGUUCACAAGUCAAUACUGUUAGAGUUGUUAGUGUUAAUCCGAAACUGUAACAAAUUAUGUUAUUUAAAUUGUUGUUAAACCUUUAAGUUACCCCUUUCAGUCUUAACCUGUACUUGUAUCCUUUUCCUCUGCAUUUGUACCCCUUUCCGUCUUACCCCGGAGUUGUAUCCCUUUCCUUAGGGAACCACUUCCCCUGCUCCCAGAAGGACUUGCACCCAGGCUGAAUUUUAAUGAGUGGCUGACGGUACUAUAUGAACCCUCUCGAAAACAACAAACCAGCACAUAAACUAUGAUUUUACCCCAGCAGAGCCGGAUUCCGUCCUGCCACCAUAACUUAAACAGCACCCAGCUUGGAUGAGACCCCUCAGCUACGAGCCAGCAUUGUCAUCCUAAGGACUCUCGUGAGGGUGGAAGUCCUAGCUUUGCUGAGAGACAAAGCUUCACUCCUCCUUCUUCUCCUUAGCAUCGUCCUGUGGGAGCAGGAGUGGUGUGAGCAAACCCUUGGGUUCCCCACCCUGAGCUGUCUUUAAUAAAGGCCUUUUUAAAGGGCCUGUUCUUCAGGCCCCACUUAUCUCA